AAUUAUUAUAUGUAGGCCUAUUGCCUCUAGACCAAAAAUAAGUAUUUCCAGUCAUGUUUUGGAUAAUGUUUGCAUUCUGGAAUUAUACAGACAGAGUCUUGAUUGAGAAAUUAAAGGGAGUAAUAAGAAUUAUAGAGACAUUUCAGUCUGCUGAUAGGCUACUCGUCGUGUUUGACGUCACUGUAAAGCCACUUGGAAGAAAUGAAUGUCAGAAACAUCAGAUAUCGUCUGACAAUUGCGCAUCGUGCAUAACAAAAUUCUGAGAAGUUCAAGAAAUUCUUUCUUUCUUUCUUUCUUUCUUUCUUUCUUUCUUUCUUUCUUUCUUUCUUUCUUUCUUUCUUUCUUUCUUUCUUUCUUGCUUUCUUUCUUUCUUUCUUUCUUUCUUUCUUUCCACAUGUAUUAAAGAAGCUUAUCCAACAGGUGGCGCUGCCUUCAAAGUUUUAACUUUUCUCGAGCGCAGUAUGGCUUGCCAAAUCGUAAUCAAAGUGAUAAAAAGUUCUCUCUUGUAGGCAACUAAAAUAUCGGCUGCUCAUCCUUGCAUCGCUCAUUUCUCCCAACGCGGCCUGUGUGGUGUGUUGACAAGAUUUGCGCUAAUUCUGAGUGCUCAGCCAGCCAUGUGCCACUCUGAAUCUGCCAUGGUAAACAUCAAGAUUUUCAGGGCAGCUGGAAUUGACAGAAAUAGAGCAUUUGCCUCCAGGACAGGAUAAUGAUCAGAGUACUUCAACAUGGAACCAUCUUUAUUCAUCCAAAUAAAGAGACAUAGGAGCAAGACACAGACGAAGCAGGGAGAACAGACGUAUAACAGCAGAUGAAGAAACUAGAAGUGGGACUCACUAUAAAUACACGGGACUGAUGAGGGGAAGACGAAGAACACCUGGAACUAAUGGAAACACAUAGGAAACCUGGGAUUAAAUCAAAGAUGCAGGAGACAGAAACUGGGUAACAGGGAGCAGUAUGCUCAUAGCAAGGCUGCAUUUAUUAUAUUUUAAGAAGGGGGUUCUUUGCAGUGAACUCAUCUUGUUUGGGGGUCCUAGGCAUCAAAAGGUUUGAAAACUCCUGAUCUAGAAUCCAGUCACUCUCCUAAUUCUCAGCUCUCUCAAAAGCCCACAAUCUAAAGCAGAUUGGUAAUUUUCAUAACAUUUAGUUUUGAGUAACAGAAAUGGUUGACACAUGUAAACAAAAGUUAUGGAUUUCAGCCACAUCCCAUAGAUGAAAGUGUUUGGCUUAUUUUUAAGAUCAAAGGAAGUUCCUUUCAUUUAAAAGGUGUACUUCUCCACAAAUUGGAACUCUUGUCUCGCUAACCUUCCUAUGAUGUUUUAAACCAAAGAUUUCAAGAACUUUUAUGUCAUGUCCAAACAAAUAUCUUUAGGCCCAGCGUGUAAAAUUAGGUUAUUUUUCUAUACUCAAAAGGGGCAUGAAUGUUCGCCAGAUAACAGGGUUUGCCUUCUGAAGGUUGAAGUGUGUUUGUGAUCCGUGUGCCACAGCAGUGGGUGAUAAUGCCACCUCCCAAAGCUGGCCAGGCAAACAUCAGCAUGUGGCUUAUCUCUGAUAUUGCACCACCACACCACAGCUUUGGUUCCAAAUAGUUCUACUGUUGAAUGUGGAAAUAAAUAAAGAAAUAAACAUUCUUUUGAGUAGAAGAGGCUUAGGAGAGAUGAAUUAGGCUUUCUUGGAUAAACUGUCAGUCUGGUUUAUCAUGCUACAGAGCUGUAUCUAUUUCUGCUUGUCAACAAAUUUCGCUCUGAUUGGCGGUGACAGUCUUAAAUUUAGAGUUAAACCCAACAAAGUCUCUUGUCCUCAAGUUGUGGGGCAAUGCUUACGUCAAACGCUGAAAAAGCAACCUGUCUGAAAGACCUGCAGAGAAAUGACUUUGUUGUAAUACACUGGCAAUUUUUUUUUCUUGCAGGGAAAAUGUUCAU